ACAUUAUCUGGCACCACAGUU
rnacentral:misc_RNA from 1 species